rnacentral:rRNA from 1 species
GAUGAACGCUGGCGGCGUGCCUAAUACAUGCAAGUCGAGCGAACGGACGAGAAGCUUGCUUCUCUGAUGUUAGCGGCGGACGGGUGAGUAACACGUGGAUAACCUACCUAUAAGACUGGGAUAACUUCGGGAAACCGGAGCUAAUACCGGAUAAUAUUUUGAACCGCAUGGUUCAAAAGUGAAAGACGGUCUUGCUGUCACUUAUAGAUGGAUCCGCGCUGCAUUAGCUAGUUGGUAAGGUAACGGCUUACCAAGGCAACGAUGCAUAGCCGACCUGAGAGGGUGAUCGGCCACACUGGAACUGAGACACGGUCCAGACUCCUACGGGAGGCAGCAGUAGGGAAUCUUCCGCAAUGGGCGAAAGCCUGACGGAGCAACGCCGCGUGAGUGAUGAAGGUCUUCGGAUCGUAAAACUCUGUUAUCAGGGAAGAACAUAUGUGUAAGUAACUGUGCACAUCUUGACGGUACCUAAUCAGAAAGCCACGGCUAACUACGUGCCAGCAGCCGCGGUAAUACGUAGGUGGCAAGCGUUAUCCGGAAUUAUUGGGCGUAAAGCGCGCGUAGGCGGUUUUUUAAGUCUGAUGUGAAAGCCCACGGCUCAACCGUGGAGGGUCAUUGGAAACUGGAAAACUUGAGUGCAGAAGAGGAAAGUGGAAUUCCAUGUGUAGCGGUGAAAUGCGCAGAGAUAUGGAGGAACACCAGUGGCGAAGGCGACUUUCUGGUCUGUAACUGACGCUGAUGUGCGAAAGCGUGGGGAUCAAACAGGAUUAGACACCCUGGUAGUCCACGCCGUAAACGAUGAGUGCUAAGUGUUAGGGGGUUUCCGCCCCUUAGUGCUGCAGCUAACGCAUUAAGCACUCCGCCUGGGGAGUACGACCGCAAGGUUGAAACUCAAAGGAAUUGACGGGGACCCGCACAAGCGGUGGAGCAUGUGGCUUAAUUCGAAGCAACGCGAAGAACCUUACCAAAUCUUGACAUCCUUUGACAACUCUAGAGAUAGAGCUUUCCCCUUCGGGGGACAAAGUGACAGGUGGUGCAUGGUUGUCGUCAGCUCGUGUCGUGAGAUGUUGGGUUAAGUCCCGCAACGAGCGCAACCCUUAAGCUUAGUUGCCAUCAUUAAGUUGGGCACUCUAAGUUGACUGCCGGUGACAAACCGGAGGAAGGUGGGGAUGACGUCAAAUCAUCAUGCCCCUUAUGAUUUGGGCUACACACGUGCUACAAUGGACAAUACAAAGGGCAGCGAAACCGCGAGGUCAAGCAAAUCCCAUAAAGUUGUUCUCAGUUCGGAUUGUAGUCUGCAACUCGACUACAUGAAGCUGGAAUCGCUAGUAAUCGUAGAUCAGCAUGCUACGGUGAAUACGUUCCCGGGUCU